rnacentral:misc_RNA from 1 species
AACGCAACUUGCGCCCUCUGGUAUUCCGGAGGGCAUGCCUGUUUGAGUGUCAUGUAGACUCAUCUAAUCAGAUUUUCUGAUCUAGGUGGAUGUGGGAGUUUUGCCUUGGUUGGCUCUCCUUAAACACAUUAUGCAGACGUAAUAAGUUUCGUCGUACGCAUAUCUCUACUAUACUUUGUACUCUGACCUCAAAUCAGGUAGGACUACCCGCUGAACUUAA